rnacentral:rRNA from 1 species
UACGUAGGUGGCAAGCGUUGUCCGGAUUUACUGGGCGUAAAGAGCGCGCAGGCGGUCGUGCAAGUCGCGUGUGAAAGCCCCCGGCUCAACUGGGGAGGGUCACGCGAUACUGCUCGACUCGAAGGCAGGAGAGGGAAGUGGAAUUCCCGGUGUAGUGGUGAAAUGCGCAGAUAUCAGGAAGAACACCCGUGGCUAAGGCGGCUCUCUAGUACGGUACUGACGCUGAGACGCGAAAGCGUGGGGAGCGAACAGG